GGACAGAGAAAGCCUGUCUUCAGGACUGACCAAGACGUCGUUCAUCAGGUGUGGACCUCCAAGCACUCAGGUGAUGGCGAGGAAGAAACGCAGAGGGAUCAUAGAGAAGAGACGCAG